GACGAACGCUGGCGGCGUGCCUAACACAUGCAAGUGGAGCGACGAACCAGGCUUCGGCCUGGGGCAAAGCCGCGAACGGGUGAGUAACACGUGGGUAACCCUGCCCUGAUGAUUGGGACAACCCGAGGAAACUCGGGCUAAUACCGAAUGUGCCCUCCGGCCUCAAGGCCGCUGGGGAAAGGAGCUUCGGCCUCCGCAUCGGGAUGGGCCCGCGGCCCAUUAGCUUGUGGUGAGGUAACGGCUCACCAAGGCGACGAUGGUAGCUGGUCUGAGAGGACGAUCAGCCACACUGGGACUGAGACACGGCCCA
rnacentral:rRNA from 1 species